UCAAUAGCUUUGAUAAGGAAAAGUAAGUUAAGCCUAAAUUUUCAGAGAGUUCCUGGGUGGUGAAAAGGGAUAAUGAUGGUUUUGCUGAAAAUCACCUUUGAGCAGAAUUUACGAUAUUUAGUAGGUUCAGGGUCCGCCCUUUAUAGCGGCGACGUAUCGCUCACUUUGUGGGCCGCACGUGCAUGAGGCUGAACUUUUUUCAGCGAAAAAUAGGUGGUACAGCGCAAAAGCGCCCUAUUA
rnacentral:ncRNA from 1 species